rnacentral:rRNA from 1 species
GAUGAACGCUGGCGGCGUGCCUAAUACAUGCAAGUCGAGCGAACAGAUGAGGAUCUUGCUCCUCUGACGUUAGCGGCGGACGGGUGAGUAACACUUGGAGAACCUACCUAUAAGACUGGGAUAACUUCGGGAAACCGGAGCGAAUACCGGAUAAUAUAUUGAACCGCAUGGUGCAAUAGUGAAAGACGGUUUUGCUGGCACUGAUAUAUGGAUCCGCGCCGCAUUAGCUAGUUGGUAAGGUAACGGAUUACCAAGGCAACGAUGCGUAGCCGACCAGAGAGGGUGACAGGCCACACUGGAACUGAGAGACGGUCCAGACUCCUACGGGAGGCAGCAGCAGGGAACUUUCCGAAACAGGCGAAAGCCUGACGGAGCAACGCCGCGUGAGUGAUGAAGGUCUUCGGAUCGUAAAACUCUGUUAUUAGGGAAGAACAAAUGUUUAAGUAACUAUGCAAGUAUUGACGGUACCUAAUCAGAAAGCAACGGCUAACUCCGUG